rnacentral:rRNA from 1 species
UGGCGGCGUGCCUAACACAUGCAAGUCGAGCGCGAAAGUAGGCUUCGGCCUGCGAGUAGAGCAGCGAACGGGUGAGUAACGCGUGGGUGAUCUACCUCCGAGUGGGGAAUAACACCGGGAAACUGGUGCUAAUACCGCAUGACAUCCUCGAUUCGUUUCGAGGAUCAAAGCUGGGGACCGCAAGGCCUGGCGCUUGGAGAGGAGCCCGCGUCCGAUUAGCUUGUUGGCGGGUAAUGGCCCACCAAGGCUUCGAUCGGUAGCCGGCCUGAGAGGGCGGACGGCCACACUGGGACUGAGACACGGCCCAGACUCCUACGGGAGGCAGCAGUGGGGAAUUUUCGCAAUGGGGGAAACCCUGACGAAGCAACGCCGCGUGGAGGAUGAAGGCCCUCGGGUCGUAAACUCCUGUCGAUCGGGAAGAAUGCGUCCGACCUAAUACGUCGGUUCGUUGACUGUACCGGUGGAGGAAGCCACGGCUAACUCUGUG